AGAACGAACGCUGGCGGCAGGCCUAACACAUGCAAGUCGAACGCUGUAGCAAUACAGAGUGGCAGACGGGUGAGGAACACGUGGGAACAUACCCUUUGGUUCGGAAUAACUCAGGGAAACUUGAGCUAAUACCGGAUAAGCCCUUACGGGGAAAGAUUUAUCGCCGAAGGAUUGGCCCGCGUCCGAUUAGCUAGUUGGUGAGGUAACGGCUCACCAAGGCGACGAUCGGUAGCUGGUCUGAGAGGAUGAUCAGCCACAUUGGGACUGAGACACGGCCCAAACUCCUACGGGAGGCAGCAGUGGGGAAUAUUGGACAAUGGCCGCAAGCCUGAUCCAGCCAUGCCGCGUGAGUGAUGACGGCCUUAGGGUUGUAAAGCUCUUUCACCCACGACGAUAAUGACGGUAGUGGGAGAAGAAGCCCCGGCUAACUUCGUGCCAGCAGCCGCGGUAAUACGAAGGGGGCUAGCGUUGUUCGGAUUUACUGGGCGUAAAGCGCACGUAGGCGGAUCUUUAAGUCAGGGGUGAAAUGCCAAGGCUCAACCUUGGAACUGCCUUUGAUACUGGAGAUCUUGAGUCCGGGAGAGGUGAGUGGAACUGCGAGUGUAGAGGUGAAAUUCGUAGAUAUUCGCAAGAACACCAGUGGCGAAGGCGGCUCACUGGCCCGGAACUGACGCUGAGACGCGAAAGCGUGGGGAGCAAACAGGAUUAGAUACCCUGGUAGUCCACGCCGUAAACGAUGAAUGCCAGCCGUUAGUGGGUUUACUCACUAGUGGCGCAGCUAACGCUUUAAGCAUUCCGCCUGGGGAGUACGGUCGCAAGAUUAAA
rnacentral:rRNA from 1 species